AGGGAAAGUUUGGAGGCACCUCCGACGCCAGAACUCCGACCUUGCACCUCCCGAGCCCCGCCACCUGGGAAGGCCCAAGUCUUGAAGCCCACGUUGCCAGCUCACCUGUUCCUGGGGAUGACCCAGCCGUGCCCAAAGGACCUGCAGAGCAUGGGAGUGGAGAUGGCGCGAAGCGAGAGGAGGCCAUGCGCUUCAGGGCUUCAGGCUUGCCCUGCGACCUUUGAUUAGAGAACUUCCAGUUUUUGAAGUUACACUGUAAAAUGUACUUACUUGCUCCUCCACCAGGAAGUAGACUCAUUGAGGGCAGUCAUCUUGAACACCUUUGUCAUUACUAUAUCCCUGUGGUGGUUUGACUAUACCUAGUUCCCCAUAGCCUCAUAAUUAAUCCCCAGCCUGUGGAACACUGGGGAGCUCAAUUCUUGCUGGAGUAAGUUUGUCCCUGGGGGCACACCUUAGGGUGUAAUAGCCCAGCCCUGCCUGCCCCACUCAGAGCUUGCUCCCUCUCCUUCCCCCCUCCUGCUGUGCAGAAGUGACACUUGGCUCUCUGCCCUUGCCAUGCUUUCUCUGUCAUGAGGAAACAUCCCUUCAAGAUGAUCAGCCAGAAACAAACUCUUCCCGUUCAUAAAGCUGCAUCUGGCUGGGUGUUCUGUCCCAGCAACGAGAAAAUAACUGCUCCAAUCUCUGAAACACAGAACCGUGUCCAGCACCAAGGUCAGGGUCACAACAUCUGAAGACUAGGGGAAAUGAAUGAAUGGAGUUUCAGCUCAGAGUGCAAAUGGGGCUGGAGUGAAGGCAGCACCCACAAAACUGAAGCCUAGAGAUACAAAGCAUGAAGCAGGGUUUGAGCUGAGCCCAACCUGCAUGGGAGGGGCAGAUUCCAGCUGACAUAUGGACUGUACUAGCAUUAGGACAGCCAUUCAGAAAAGGGGACCCUCAAGGUCAUUGCCUUCGUUUAACAGUAAUAAGGUCAUCCCACCCUUCUGUGACAUGGGUGUUCGGCGAAAUUUGAGCAGAGGGACAGUGUUUCACAUCAAGUAGUGUGGAUGAUGACCACAUGAAAGACCACUGCAGGCUGUUCUCAAAACAUCUCCACAUCAUUACCUCAGCCCCCUUGAACUCCCCUAUGCCUGCCCUCGCUUAGCCCGUGACUCACAAGUGCCCUGUGGCAGAAGAAGUCCAGCAGAGAGCAAAGCCCUUGCCUUACCUUCCUUUUAGAGACCUUUAAUGUUCCCAUGUGUCAUUUCAUAAUUGAGAUUGUCAAUUAGUCGCCUCAUCUUUGAUCCUG